rnacentral:rRNA from 1 species
UACGUAGGGGGCAAGCGUUGUCCGGAUUCAUUGGGCGUAAAGAGCUCGUAGGCGGCUUGGCAAGUCGGGUGUGAAACCUCCAGGCUCAACCUGGAGACGCCACCCGAUACUGCCAUGGCUAGAGUCCGGUAGGGGACCACGGAAUUCCUGGUGUAGCGGUGAAAUGCGCAGAUAUCAGGAGGACCACCGGUGGCGAAGGCGGUGGUCUGGGCCGGCACUGACGCUAAGGCGCGAAAGCGUGGGGAGCGAACAGG